rnacentral:rRNA from 1 species
GCGCCGUCUUGGCGUCGCUUACGGCGUGUACUGUCUGGCUGGGUCUUACCUCUUGGUGAGCCGGCGUGCCCUUUAUUGGUGUGCGUCGGGGAACCAGGACUUUUACCUUGAGAAAAUUAGAGUGUUCAAAGCAGGCCUAUGCCCGAAUACAUUAGCAUGGAAUAAUAAAAUAGGACGGGCGGUUCUAUUUUGUUGGUUUCUAGAGUCGCCGUAAUGAUUAAUAGGGAUAGUUGGG